rnacentral:misc_RNA from 1 species
CAACCCUCGAGCCCCCGUGGCCCGGCGUUGGGGAUCUGCCACGGCAGGCCCCUAAAACCAGUGGCGGACCCGAAGGGCCCUCUCCUUUGCGCAGUAGCAUCAGCCUCGCAUUGGGAGCCCUCGGCGUCCUGCCUCUAAACCCCCCACAAGUCCGCCCAGCGGCACCAA